CUGGCACAGCGUCUCGAAGCGAUAGCUCACACGGAUGUCGGGGACGUUGGUCCGGCGGAUGUCGUUCCCCUCCGGACCCUCCUUCAGGUGGCCCCAGGCUGUCCCGUGGCCCUGCUCACCUCGAAGCGCUGCAUGAACUGGGCCAGGUUUCCCUUCAGCUCCGGACACUCAGGCACGAACAUGCGCUGCUGGUCCAUCACGUCGUACGCCAGGAAGUCCACGAAGGUCCGGGAGCCCAGGAACCGUGACAGCUCCUGCAGCUUCUUGGGCAGCUGCUCCAGUUUGCCAGGACAGCGAGACCUAAGACCCAAGCCUCCCACCUCAAGCAUCUGGAAGACCACUGCCUAGCAAAUGAGAUCACACAUGCUAACAAAGAAACUGAAAGAGAUAACAAAUCAAGGAAGUGAUUCCAGAUAAAAAGGGGUGGAAGAAAGGGAGAUGUGUGAACUGCAGGAGAAAAACGGAAUUGUAACGGGUUUUCUCAGCAACACCCAGAUCUGUUCGCUCACUUGUUAUUGCCUGCUCUAAUUAUAAUAAAUUACUUUUAAUUGA